rnacentral:rRNA from 1 species
AGAGUUUGAUCAUGGCUCAGAACGAACGCUGGCGGCAGGCUUAACACAUGCAAGUCGAGCGCUGUAGCAAUACAGAGCGGCGCACGGGUGAGUAACACGUGGGAACAUGCCCUAUGGUUCGGAAUAACUCAGGGAAACUUGAGCUAAUACCGGAUAAGCCCUAACGGGGAAAGAUUUAUCGCCAUUGGAGUGGCCCGCGUCCGAUUAGCUUGUUGGUGAGGUAAAAGCUCACCAAGGCGACGAUCGGUAGCUGGUCUGAGAGGACGACCAGCCACACUGGGACUGAGACACGGCCCAGACUCCUACGGGAGGCAGCAGUGGGGAAUCUUGGACAAUGGGGGAAACCCUGAUCCAGCCAUGCCGCGUGAGUGAUGAAGGCCCUAGGGUUGUAAAACUCUUUCGGCGGGGACGAUAAUGACGGUACCCGCAGAAGAAGCUCCGGCUAACUUCGUGCCAGCAGCCGCGGUAAUACGAAGGGGGCUAGCGUUGUUCGGAAUUACUGGGCGUAAAGCGCGCGCAGGCGGUCCUUCAAGUCAGAGGUGAAAGCCCAGAGCUCAACUCUGGAACGGCCUUUGAAACUAGAGGACUUGGGUACGGGAGAGGUGAGUGGAAUUCCGAGUGUAGAGGUGAAAUUCGUAGAUAUUCGGAAGAACACCAGUGGCGAAGGCGGCUCACUGGCCCGUUACCGACGCUCAGGCGCGACAGCGUGGGGAGCAAACAGGAUUAGAUACCCUAGUAGUCC